rnacentral:rRNA from 1 species
GUAGUUAGCCGGAGCUUCCUCCUUGGGUACCGUCAUUUCUUUCGUCCCCAAGGACAGAGGUUUACAAUCCGAAAACCUUCUUCCCUCACGCGGCGUUGCUGGGUCAGGGUUUCCCCCAUUGCCCAAUAUUCCCCACUGCUGCCUCCCGUAGGAGUCUGGACCGUAUCUCAGUUCCAGUGUGGCCGAUCACCCUCUCAGGUCGGCUACCCAUCGUCGACUUGGUAGGCCGUUACCCUACCAACUAUCUAAUGGGACGCGAGCCCAUCCAUCAGCGAUAAAUCUUUGACCCCUCUACCAUGCGAUAGUGUGGUCUUAUGCGGUAUUAGCAGUCGUUUCCAACUGUUGUCCCCCUCUGAUGGCCAGGUUGCUCACGCGUUACUCACCCGUCCGCCACUAAGUCAUAUUAGCUUCCAUCCGAAAACUUCCACUUAUAUGCUUCGUUCGACUUGCAUGUGUUAAGCACGCCGCCAGCGUUCGUCCUGAGCCAGAAUCAAACUCUGA